CGACAUGAAUCGCCGCAUUGCUGCGGUCGCCAAGAAGAAACGCUCCAAAAAGCCAAAAAACAAUAGGCCUCCCCCCAACAAGGCCAAAGAGACCAAUGACAACAACUUGGCCAGGGGAAGGUGAGUGAUGGGAAGAGGGAAACAAACGAUGGGCAACUAGCACCACCAUUCACACACACCCACGGAAAGCUCACAAAAUCCAUACCAAAACGCAUCUCUUUCUCUUCCACAACACUAUUCCUGGACGAAAUAUUAGCGUAGUAUAUUCUGACGACCCCACAGUACUGCCAGGUGCAUAAAUUGGCCUAAAAAAUGCACCGAGCCGUAUUGAAUUAAGAGUGUGAGGUGAAUUUGAACUGGGAGAGUGAAAGAGAAAAUUAUGUACAUAGUUAUGGGUGGUGGUGGUGGUGGUGGUGGUGGUAUUGUAUGAGUAAUGUUUGUUAUGAAGAGAAGGAAAGAUACGUAGGUUUGGAUGAGGUGGUGAUGGUGUUCAAGAUACCGAUUGAUUGAUGUUUUGUUAAUAUGGAGAGAAGGAAGGAAGUUUACGUGUGGGUGAUGGUGAAGGUGAAAGUAGUAGUAAUGGUGACACUUGUAAAUGGAAGACGAAUGCUUGGUUAUGAGAAAAAGAGCAUUAGAUAGAUGAUGGUGAUAAUAGUGAAUGAUAAUGGUGAUGGUGAUAGUAUUUCUACUGUACAAAAUUAAUAUGUAGAUUUCAAAAGAAUAUAGUUAGCUAUAGAUGAGAUAACAGCAAUAAUGGCGAUAGUAAAUGGUUAUGAUAAUGGUGAUAGCUUUAAUGUAUAAUAGGACAUUAAUUUUAACCCCUUCAGUACCAGGACGCGUUUUCUUACCUAUUGUGGUGACUAUUUGGUGAUUUUAUACAGCUGACUAUGGCCAUUAAUCUUCUGUCCCCCUUAGACCCUUCCUAUUGCAAAUAAAAUCGUCAAAUGACACCCAAAACUCGUGAUAAAAAUGCGUCAUAGUACUGAAAGGAUUAAGUAAGAGAAAGGAUCGAGUUUUGGAAGGUGAUGGUGAUUGCUGUGGUGAUGGUGACUGUGGAGGGACCUUAGUGGUGAAUGGAAUGGAGGAAGUGGAGGCGUAAGUGGAAUGUGGCAGGUCAUGGAUGAGUGAGUGAAGGUCAGUGAGGUCAUUAGGUAAAUUGUACUAGAGAGAGAGAGAGAGAGAGAGAGAGAGAAUUUAUGCAGUCCUAUAUUUACAUUAACAUCUUUUACCAUGUCUUAUUUUCCGUAUUUUCGAAUUUUUUUCCCAUUUUUCGGUGUGCAUUUCGAAAUAGUGUAGUUUGCCUCUUCACAGGUGGAAGAAAACUGGUGUUUACACUGAGUUUAGAGAACGGUUUCGU